rnacentral:rRNA from 1 species
UACGUAGGAGACGAGCGUUGUCCGGAAUUACUGGGCGUAAAGCGCGUGUAGGCGGAUGAGCAAGUCUGCUGUGAAAGCUCCUGGCUUAACCGGGAGUGGUCGGUGGAAACUGCUCGUCUGGAGGACGGUAGAGGUAGGUAGAAUUCCCGGUGUAGUGGUGAAAUGCGUAGAGAUCGGGAGGAAUACCUGUGGCGAAGGCGGCCUACUGGGCCGGACCUGACGCUGAGGCGCGAAAGCGUGGGGAGCAAACCGG